rnacentral:rRNA from 1 species
CAGUCGCCGCGGUAAAACGAAGGGUGCAAGCGUUAAUCGGAAUUACUGGGCGUAAAGCGUGCGUAGGCGGUGAGUUAAGUCUGCUGUGAAAUCCCCGGGCUCAACCUGGGAAUGGCAGUGGAUACUGGCUCGCUAGAGUGUGUCAGAGGAUGGUGGAAUUCCCGGUGUAGCGGUGAAAUGCGUAGAGAUCGGGAGGAACAUCAGUGGCGAAGGCGGCCAUCUGGGACAACACUGACGCUGAGGCACGAAAGCGUGGGGAGCAAACAGGAUUAGAUACCCGCGUAGUCCCUGUCUCUUAUAC